rnacentral:rRNA from 1 species
AGUGAACGCUGGCGGUAGGCCUAACACAUGCAAGUCGAACGGCAGCACAGUAAGAGCUUGCUCUUACGGGUGGCGAGUGGCGGACGGGUGAGGAAUACAUCGGAAUCUACUUUUUCGUGGGGGAUAACGUAGGGAAACUUACGCUAAUACCGCAUACGACCUACGGGUGAAAGCAGGGGAUCUUCGGACCUUGCGCGAUUGAAUGAGCCGAUGUCGGAUUAGCUAGUUGGCGGGGUAAAGGCCCACCAAGGCGGCGAUCCGUAGCUGGUCUGAGAGGAUGAUCAGCCACACGGGAACUGAGACACGGUCCAGACUCCUAAGGGAGGCAGCAGUGGGGAAUAUUGGACAAUGGGCGCAAGCCUGAUCCAGCCAUACCGCGUGGGUGAAGAAGGCCUUCGGGUUGUAAAGCCCUUUUGUUGGGAAAGAAAAGCAGCAGGUUAAUACCCCGCUGUUCUGACGGUACCCAAAGAAUAAGCACCGGCUAACUUCGUG